AUUUUCCCACUGUACAGCAAGGGGGUCAGGUCAUCCUUAGAUGUAUACAUUGCAGUUACAGUUUUUUCCCCCACCCUUUCUUCUGUUGCGACAUGAGUAUCUAGACAUAGUUCUCAAUGCUAUUCAGCAGGAUCUCCUUGUAUAUCUAUUCUAGGUUGUGUCUGAUAUACUUCAAUAAAAUAAAUUUUUAAAAAGAUGUCUACUGAAAGGAAACACCUAAACACAAUACGCACUAUAUUUUUGGGGUUUUUUUUUUUUGCUUUUUUACGGCCACACGCAUGGCAUAUGGAGGUUCACAGGCUGGGGGUCUAACUGGAGCUAUAGCUGCCGGCCUACACCACAGCCACAGCAACUCGGGAUUUGAACUGAAUGCUCAACUUACACCAUAGCUCACGGCAAUGCCAGAUCCUUAACCCACUGAGCGAGGCCAAGGAUCCUCCACCCCAAGUCUUCAUGGAUACUAGUCAGGUUUGUUUCCUCUGCGCCACGCAGGAACUCCCACAAUACAUCAUAUGAAUCUCUGGAAUAAAACAUGGGAUAAAAUCUCUGAAAUAGAAUGGAGAGGAAUACAUCUACUCAAAGAAAAGUGGUCUUAAAAGACUGAAUGAUAGGUUACUUAUCUCUGUGCACUUAACAUUGGUAUAACAACAAGUGGAUCUAAUGAGACGAAGUGAUGUGUUUUUAUCCCUAUGAAUGAAGUGUUUAUGAACACAAAUGCCUGUAUCUGGAGUGUUACUAGAAUACAAGCAAUUGCACCUAUUAAAACGAAAAAUUCAGAGACAAAACUUAAUGAAACAUUUUUCCCCUAUGAAUGCAUUGCUGGCAGAUCAGAAAUAAGCAUCUGCUGAAACAAACUGCCAUAAGCAACACUGAAUGAUGUUUUGUAUCUCUAUGAACGGAGUUUUGAUAAACCAAAAUGAAUACAUCUACUUAAAUAAGAAUGGUUUACACAAAAUCUAAGUUUACUUGGGAAAACUAUGUUAAAAAAAAAAACUGAAUCAGUGAGUUCCCACUGUGGCUCAGAUGGUUAAGAACCUGACAUACUAUCUGUGAGGAUUGGGUUCGAUCUCCAGCCUAGCUCAAUGGCGUAAGGAUCUGAUGUUGCUGCAAGCUGUGGCACAGGCUGCAGAUGCAGCUUGGAUCUGGUGUUGCUGUGGUGUAGGCCAGCAGCUGCAGCUCUGAUUUGACCCCUAGUCUGGGAACUUCCAUAUGCAGCAAGUGUGGUCAUAAAAAAGAAAAACAAACUGAAUUAGGCAGUUCUCUUGUGGAGCAGCAGGUUAAGGAUCCAGUGCUGCCACAUCUGCGGCACAUGCCACAACUGCACAGGUUUGAUCCCUGGCCUAGGAACUUCCAUAUGCUGCAGGAGCAGCCAAAAAAAGAAAAAAAUUUUGAAUUAUAGGAGUUCCAUGAUGGCUCAGCAGGUUAAGGUCCAGUGUUGUCACUACUGUUACUCAGGCUGCUGUCACGGUGUGGGUUUAAUCCCUGUCCUGGGAACUUCCGCAUGCCCCAGGUAUGGCCAAAAAAUUGUUCUUAAUUGAAUUGUUAUGCAUCUCUAUGAAAAGAGUGUAGAAAAAUAUCUUCAAUGAAAGGAUAAAGCAAAACAUAAAAGUGCAUGCUAUUAUCUAUGGAUGGAGUGUUCCAAAACAAAAAAUUUAUCACUAUCUUAAAUGAAAGAAGUAAAUACAAAACUGACAGAUUUUUGGUUCCCUUAAAUACCCAUCCCUGGGUCCUGUUAGAAGCCAGACCCCCUGGCACAGCUCACCUCAGAGAUAAGAGUCAGUUAAGUGAUAAGCCCAGGGACUGCCUGGGUACAUUCACAGCACUCGAGCCCUCCGGGCAGUCAAAACACCACCCGUGGUGCUUUCUUGUAACAUGCCAUCAGGAAACCACCUACACACACAGGCGCCGUCACAUCCUGUCACAUGGCCCCUUCAGGGGAUCAAAUUGCCAGUUCAGAGAUCAUCUGGUCAAAGUCAUGUCUGUCUGGCUAGGAUCAAAGCACUGAACUAAAGCUCUCUCCAGGUCAGUCCCAUUCUGUAAGUGCAACCUCCCAUCCACUAUCCCACAUCCUGCAUCCCUGCCCCUCAUCAACACGAACUCGCCCUACCCAGAGGACUAUAUGUUCCAUGAAAUCAGUCAGACACAGAAAAGGCAAAUACUGCUAACGAUCUACUUGAUAUGGAAUCUAGAAAAAUUAAAUUCAGAAUUCCCUGGCAGCUUACUGGUUAAGGAUUCAUCAUUGUCACUGCUGUGACUCAGGUUUGAUCCCUGGCCUGGGGAACUUUUGCAUACCAUGGGGAUGGCCAAAAAAACCCCAAAAAGUUAAAUUCACAGAAACAGAGAGUAGGGUGGUGGUUGAGGGAAAUGGGGAGAUGUUGGUCAAAGGGCCCAAACUCAGUUACAGGAUGUGAAGACCUAACAUACAGCCUGGUGAGACUGUCAUUAACAAUAAUGUAUUAUAUCCCUGAAAUCUGCUAAGACAGUGGGUCUCAAAUGUUCUCAUCAGACACACACAAUGGUAACCAUGUGAGGUUGAUAGGGAUAGAGCAGGAUAAUUAAAUAGUUGAGAAAUCCCAAUAGGGGAUUAAAGAUAGAAAGGGAAUUUUAAGAAUUUGGGAGACCUUUGUAAGCUAAUGACCACUCAAGAAAAGAAUCCAGUAACCUAGCAACAAUCUGCACUACCUUAAAGGAGGAUCAGAUGCAUUCGAGUGCCAGGCACACCCAAGCCCACACAUCCCGAUAGUUAAAGCACAAGACAAUAGAUGUGGGGUCUGCAUCUUCUUAUGCAAAGUCAGGGAGUUAGCGGUCCUCGAAGAGCAGCAUUUCUGCAUGUAGCCAAGAUAGGAAUACAGGGGAAAGGGGAAAGAAACUCCAUGGUAGGGGACCUUACAGAGAAACUUGAGGUGAAUUACCUUAUUUUAGUGUACCACACUUGGCGUACAUGCGAUUUAAUAGCUAUGAUGGUCCUGGUUAGGCCAUAUAGGGUUAAAGAAGGAACUGAUGAGGUAAGUCUUAAUAUCUACCCAAGAAUGCUCACUCGCCAUUGUUCCUUUGAUUGUAAAAAUGUAGCCCUCUUUGAUCUCGGGGGGCGGGGGGGGGAACCUGUGGUUCUCACAAGCAUCCGAUGCUAAUAAGCCUACUCUGCCUGCCACGUUGCCUCAUGCUGAAUUCUUUCCACACUGAAACUAGAGAACCUGAGCUUCAGUAAGUCCAGCCACCAGGUGAGUGGUUUCACUUAAAAGACAGGGGUUUGAGUUCCCUCCUUAGUCAGGGAUCUUGGGUUCAAGUCCCAAUCUGAGGGGUGGCUGAGGUCGAGUCCUAUCUGAGAAGGACUUCAGUGAUGGCCAUGUUAAUCAGCUUCACUGCGGUAAACAUUUCACAAUAUAUACAAUAUACAUCAAAAUAUCACAUGGUGCACCUUACAAAUACAAAUAUAUAUAGUUUGUAUUUGUCAUACGUAUACCUCUAUAAAGCUGGGGCACGGACAAAGAAAUACAAUGCUGAUGUGCCCCGACCCUUUCCAGACAACCUGCUCUCCUAUCCUGUUCCUGGCACCACGCUCUCUACUCUUCCUGCUGAAAUGUGCAAAUCUCACAUAAAGUCCAACAGCUGACUCUUCUCUCAAUCUCACCCGAUUCUCAGUGCUAUUCUUAGCUAACUAAGCGUUAGGAAUACAGCAUGCAUGAACCCUGCCCAGAGGGGCCUGCGUUUUUUAAAAGGUACUUUUUAACCCAAAUAAAUCUUUAAUUCAAGGGUGAGUUGUGUUUUUGAGUGUUUCUGUUUGCAUGACAGUCCUCACAGAGGACAGCAAUACUAGGACUCCCUUCUAUGAAGUGGCCUAAAGGAGCUUCCUGGAGUUUCCAGUGUGGUUCAACGGGUUAUGAACCUGACUAGUAUCCAGGAGGACACAGGUUUGAUCCCUGGUCUGCUCAGUGGGUUAAGGAUCCGAUACUGCUGUGGCUGUGCUGUAGGCUGGCAGCUGCAGCUCUGAUUCAGCCCUUAGCCUGUAAAAAGAAAAGAAAAAAAUUUAAAAAAGGAAUGGCUUCCUUUUUGCUUCCCUAGCUUCCUCACUGAAUCCCCAGACACUAUUAUGGGUCGAUUUAUCUUGGGAAGUUUAUUAAAAACACAGAAUUGGAGUUCCCAUUGUGGCGCAGCAGAAACAAAUCCAACUAGGAACUAUGAGGUUACAGGUUCGAUCCCCUGGCCUCAGUCAGUGGGGUAAGGAUCCAGCAUUGCUGUGAGCUGUGGUGUAGGUCACAGACGUGGCUCGGAUCUGGUGUUGCUGUGGCUGUGGUGUAGGUUGGCAGCUGCAGCUCCAAUGAGACCCCUAGCCUGGAAACUUCCAUAUGCCGCAGGGCCUUUGCACUUGCUGUUCUCUCUGCCUGGCACACUUGUUCCCACAGCUCCCUCCCUCACCCUCUGUGGGCUUUGCUCAAUGACACCCUCUCGGGGAGAUCUUCUCAAGUUCUGCACCCAAUUCCAGUGGGUGCAGUGUUCCCCACCACCAAGCAACUCCCCAGACACCAGCUGGGUGCUCUACAAUUUGACUGACAACUAACCCUAUUGCUACCAAGCCAGGUUCAAUUUCCCCAUGUGCAGCCAGCCAACUGCUAAGAUGCUGAGGUUUGCAGCAGAGAAAGACUUUACUCACAAGGCAGCCAAGUGAGGAGCCGGCAGAACACGCCUCAGACCUGCCUCCUUAAAGGCGAGGUGUUUGGGUGUAUAUGGGAUAAAGACGCAGGGUGGCCUUAGCCAUGGGGAAGGGUGACGGGACACAGGGGGAAAAGGUGAGGUAAUCAGUGUCCCGAAAAGGCCUAUGAGUCACGUGUUUCUUCCUGAGACACGUGUUCAAAAGUGGAGGCAUUAGCAUGAUCUGAGGGUGGAGUUUGCAGUCCUCUGAUAUCAAAAAGUCAUUCAUCCAACACCUGCCCACGCCCAGUUUUAGGCUCGGUGGUCCCAACCAGUCUCAUCGAAAAUGAGCAGAGCCCUGUAGGGCCACCCCACUCGCAGGCCCCUUCAUGUGUUCUCACCUCCCAGCUUAAAAAAAAAAAAAAAAAUUCAAACUUUUAGUUUCCCUGGCCUCUCAAGUUUCAGAAAACAGACUCAAGCAAUUAAUCAUUUAAGAAGAGGCAAAAGCAGGAACUAAGAAAAGGCAGCUGAGCAAGGAAGGAGACAACAACUUAAGCAAUAAGUAAAACUCAAGCAUCAGGGUCAUAAGGCCCCAGUUCUCCUCGAGAAAAACAGAUAACAAGGUCUGACGCAUAUUCUUAAGUGUUUCUUACAGAAAUCAGACUCCUACAAGGGGGAAACUGCUGACCCUAAACCUGUAGACCACUGACUAGUUGGAGCUGGAAAACUGAUGAGAGAUUCCUGACAUACCACUACCCUCUACCAAUCAGAAAACCGUCCGUGAGGAGCUCCCUGGUAGUCUGUUGGUCAGGGCUUAGCACUUUCACUGCUU
rnacentral:lncRNA from 1 species